UAAAGAUCGAAUUCGUCUCACCUUUGAAUUAGAACCUCGUUUCCAUCUAGCUAAUUCUUGUAGAAAAUCUGAUAUUACGUUUCCACGCAGAACGUAUUCCCGAAUACAUGUUGCAAUAGUGCUUUGGUUGCUAGGGAGAGCCAAAAAUAUUUGAUUGAUGUAUCUUUAUUGUUAAAACAUCUUUUAUUUUAAGUAUUUAAACCAAAUAAUUAUAAUAAUAUAACAGAAUUCAUUUAUUUGAUUAAAUUCAAAUAAUUUUAACAAAGUUAAACCACUUGAAUAUACAGGUCUUUUCACCGUAUGUGAAUUUUCCAUUUAAAAUACUAUUAUUUUUUCAUUAAAUUUUAUAUUGAUUAAUCAAAGAAUGACGAGACUAUAGGACUAUAAUGCUAUAAACUGAAAACUGCAAACUAAUCAAUUAGGGAACACUUUGAAACACUAAAAUAGUACUCUUUUUGUUAUGUUUUAAUUGACGCUUUAAAACUUUUCACAAAGUUUAAGAGAUUAGCACAAUGUCUAUUAUAGCUUUAUUUUACAAUUAAUUGACUCCACGUCAUUAUUACGACAGCUUAUAGUAGAAUGGUUAUAGAAGUCAAUUUUGUCAUAUUUUACCUAAAUUUCUGGAAAUGACAAAUAUAUCAAAAUAAAAUAAAAUUUCUAGAACAUCAACUAAAAGAUAACGGAGAGAGUAUUAUUUAUAUUGUUUUUUCUUUUAGAUACUUAACAAUCAUUUGGCAAUAAAAAUAUUCUUACCUUAAAGGGAACAAGACACUUCAUUUUUCAAUAAAUUCAUGAAUAAUUUGAAAUGACAUACAUCAACACUAUUAUUUAAAAUUUGUAAAUGUUUCUGAUUUUUAUUUCAAAAUAUGGUUUUAUAUCCUCCUUUGCUCAUUUUUGGCGUCUUGAUUAUCCAGUGAUACCAAAACUGUUUGAAAAUCAUCUAACAAAAUCCAUUAGCAUUUCCUCAAAUUCAGUAAGUUAUACUUAACAUGCAACUAUUCUAAGAACAUGUUAAAUGGUUUGAGAAAUGACAUACCACUUAAUUGGUUAAGCAUUUGGGCAUUUUAUUGCGUAUUGAUUGUUUAAUUUCAAUGUAGAAAGCAAAACGAUCAUCCUCUUCAGUCAUGCAAUUAAUUUCCCUCUCCCUCAUGACUCAUGUCAAAUGUGGCUCUAUCUUAUCCUUUCACUCUCAAUGUAAAUCAUUCGAACACUUCCAUGAUUUUCUAAAUAUCAUUGAAUUGAUUUGAACAAUUGGUCAUUUUUUUCAAUAGCCAAAGGUUCUAACAAAAAGAAAAUGAUCUUUGUUUCUUUUCCAUAUGACAAUACCAAGAUUUUGUUGAACAGGAAGAAGAAAAAGAAGAAGAAGAAUAGACUCAUGAUCAUAAAAGCAUUAAGUCAUGAUGAUCCCGAUGUGAGUAGUCUUCACACCUUGUUGAAACGUGUGGAUGAUGUUGUCAAACUGUUGAAAAGAGUUGGUGAUGUGUUAUAAAUGAUCGAGUAAACAACACAGGAUCUAUCUCGGGAAGAUGAUGGAGAAGUUACCAACUAUGGUAGAACACUUUUGUGGCAGAAAAUAGUGUGCUAUGAAACUGUUUUCUACGAGAAAAGCUUUAGGAAACAUUAAAACAUCCUCUUUGUUGCACAGUAUAGUCUAAAUCCCACUGAGAUUAAUACAACACUUGAUCUGUCGAGAAAAGAUGAAGAUGGAGAACUCACUAACUAUGGCAUAGUUUUGAUGUGGAAAAAGGAGUGUGCCAUGAAUCUCUUUGCUGCCAAAAAAGCUUUAGAAGACGUUACAAACAUCCUCCUUGUUGCAGAAAAUUGUCCAAAUCCUAGUGAGAAUGUUCCCAAGCUGAGUAGUCUAGGACCUUUGUGGAGGCGUGUGCGAGAUGCGUCAAAGCGUUUGGAAGAAGCCAGUGACUUGAUAUCGAUGAUCGAGAAAACAACGGAGGAGAGUUUUGGAGAUGAUGUUACCGGAGAGAUUACUGACUGAGAAAGCUUUAUCAUGGGAGAAAGAGUGUAUCGUGGAACUACAUUUGGCAAGGUUAGCUCUAAAAUAGGUGGAAAUUUUCCUUUUUGGUGAUGCAUGAGAGAGCAAAAUCUACAAACGAAUCAUGUUUCUCUUCUUGUUUUACUUUUCAUUGAUUGUAUUUUUUUUGGCAAUUUCCCUACAUGUAAAUACCAAGGGGUUGUUUCAAUUAAGAGUUUCAGAUGAUUUGUAUUAAAAUGACAAAUCUACUAUUAUUCAAACGAGGAUUUUAAAAACCACUUUAAAAUCAGUAUUAUUGAACUUGUCAUUUUAACAAAUCUUCUAAAAUCCACUGUUAUUGAACAAACUUGUCAUGUAUUGAAACAAGAAUUUUAAGAGACUUUGAGAUUUUAUUAAAAUCUCAUGUUAUUCAACUAAUGAUUUUAAAAACUCUUUCAAAAUCAAGUGUUAUUCAACAUGAAAUUUGUAUAAAAUUAUUGGAAAUCACUUGCAAUCCCCUGUUAUUCAAUUAAAAAUUUAUAAAAAACUAUUUCAAAUCUACUGUUAUUCAACUCUAAACAAUAGACAAUAGUUAGGAAGAAUCUUUUGUGAGAAGGAUUUUAGGAGAGUUUACAUUACAUUUUAGUUAAAAACAGUUCUAGUAGAAUAACAUCUCUAUAGCUGGUAUCUGAAGAGACUUGAAAAUCUUUAUAUAUAAAAUACACUUUUAAUCUCUCCUGAGUGUGCCAACAAGGAUGCCAGCGCAACAAUUCGUAAGCUACUGUUGAGACACGUCAGAAACUCAUCGUUUCAUUAAAUCGUGAAUCAAUUGUUACGGGCUUGACAUUUGGGCUUCAUGUUGUGUUCGUACGCGGCCCGACGACCACAAUCUCCUGGUGAAACCCUAAUCAGCCUCUACGCUCACCUUCGUGUUCUCCGCUCCCCUUCGAUCGGCGCAAGUGCGAUCCAUCCUCUGUAACGGUUCUUCGAUAAUUAAUGGUCUUAAAUCGUCUUUAACGCUCCCAUUUAAUCGUCUUUCAAUCUAUUGAAACAACAAAAUCACUUUAUUUACUGAGUAAUGGCUAGCUCUCAAGUUUUUCUUUCCGAUUUGAAGUCUGUAGAUGGCCUUUCAUUAGGUUGCGUUUUUGGGAGGCGAGGUAUAUAAGGCGCAGUGAUGAGCUCAUCUCUGUCAAUAUGCUCUUGCUUGAUUCAAAGGUGAGUCUGGUUUGAAUUUUUAUAAUAGUGAUGUUGAUUUUUUUUUCCCGUGACCGUUCGAUAAUAAUUUUCAUAGAGCAUGUAUGAUUGGUUUAUUGAUAACGGUGAUUCUCAUUUGCGUUUUCAGGCGACUCUUAUGCCGGUCACCAUUGCUGUUCAAAGGUUGUUCUGUUCAUAAACUCAUGUACAUAGUAUUAUUAAUUUUUCCGAUGGCAGCCACCUUGAAUGUCCACCGGCUUUCAACUUACAGGCUUUCAGUGUAUUCCAUCACCGGUUUUGAAGUGAUUCAGUGUAAUCAGAACUUCAGGCUGUCGGACUCUUCCAUAUUGAUUCGGUUUUGAUCCCUUCUCUCAUCAUGUCUGGAGAUCCAUCCGAAGGUAAAGUAACAAGCUUUACGAUAUUUUCGCUUUUCAGUGAUCUUUUUGUUGAGUGGUUAUUUUCUGCCUACUAAGUCACCUCUGAUUUGUGUGUAUGGUGGCAUGGGGUUUGAUCCUAACGGCAAGAUCUCUGUGGAAUGGGAGCCCUUUGGUUCAUUUUAUUUUGUUGUGGCUUAGUUGAGUUUAAUGAAGUUGGUGGAAGCUCAAUGUUGGCUACAACUCUUGCUUGGGAAAUGAACUGUCUUGGAAGCUAGAGAAUGCUAUUGAAGCACUUCAGGAGACUAUGCAUCAGGAUUAUUCUGUUGUGAUGAGGUUACAAAGGGAGUCUCUAGGAGUAUCUGUUCUUAGCAAGAAUCAUGUUCCCACUAAAAGAGCGCAUUACCUUGCUGUAGAGAAGGCUUUAGAGAUGGUUAAGCGAAAUUUCAUCUCUUAGCAAGGUUGUGCUUGCACAGUUACAUUUGUGUUUUUGUCUAAGGAUACUAAAUUCACUUUUUAGAAUAAAGCAAUGUUAGGAUUUGAAUCGCACUCUGAGUUAUUGUUUGACAGAGUGAAGGGCAUGAUGCUUAUCAAUUCUGACUGCAACCACCUGGUACACAAAAUUUAUCGGGAACACAGUAUGGUAUCAUGAGAGACUUUUCAAAAGGAAUAAAAUUAGGUGUUUGCAGUGAAACUUUGGCUGCAACUAGGCCUCGAGCCGCUUCAACUGCGUGUGAUAUGGAGAUAGAGUGUGACUUGCUAACCAGCCCCAAAGAUGACCUUGAGUUCUCUACUGUACAAGAGAAUAUAAGAGGAAAUUUCAGUCUUAUUGAUCUGCAUAUUUCAAACAUUUUGUCUACGGUUAGUUUGAAUUUUGACUCUUUAACAAGUGUAUUGACACAUGUUCUACUAUCAUAUUCUUUCAAGGUAGUUGUUAAGCCCCAAAAAGCUGUGAGGAAGCUUGCAAGAGUGCAGCAUCUAUAUUCUGAAUUGACGGGGAAGCUUAGGAGAGAAGAUGACGAGUUUGACGUCUUCGCUACUCUGCAUCCAAUUCCAGUUGUUUGUGGGCUUCCAGCAUAAGAAGCUAGACUUUUGAUUAAGGAAAUAGUUGAAAUAUCAACGUUUGGUGUGAUUUUCUUUCAUCGAUGUACUCUUCAGUCUUGAAAUACCAUAUUAGCUUCUUUUUUUUUUUUUGCUAAAUACCAUAUUAGCAUUCGUUAUUAUCAAUAUAUGACCGAUGAUAUUUUUUUA